rnacentral:rRNA from 1 species
AGGUGGUGCAUGGUUGUCGUCAGCUCGUGUCGUGAGAUGUUGGGUUAAGUCCCGCAACGAGCGCAACCCUCGCCUCUAGUUGCCAGCAUUCGGUUGGGCACUCUAGCGAGACUGCCGGUAAUAAACCGGAGGAAGGUGGGAUGACGUCAAAUCAUCAUGCCCCUUAUGACCUGGGCUACACACGUGCUACAAUGGUUGGUACAACGAGUUGCGAGUCGGUGACGGCGAGCUAAUCUCUUAAAGCCAAUCUCAGUUCGGAUUGUAGGCUGCAACUCGCCUACAUGAAGUCGGAAUCGCUAGUAAUCGCGGAUCAGCACGCCGCGGUGAAUACGUUCCCGGGCCUU